AUUGAACGCUGGCGGCAUGCCUUACACAUGCAAGUCGAACGGCAGCACGGGAGCUUGCUCCUGGUGGCGAGUGGCGAACGGGUGAGCAAUGCAUCGGAACGUGCCCUGAAGUGGGGGAUAACGUAGCGAAAGUUACGCUAAUACCGCAUAUUCUGUGAGCAGGAAAGCAGGGGGAUCUUCGGACCUUGCGCUUUUGGAGCGGCCGAUGUCGGAUUAGCUAGUUGGUGGGGUAAAGGCCCACCAAGGCGACGAUCUGUAGCGGGUCUGAGAGGAUGAUCCGCCACACUGGAACUGAGACACGGUCCAGACUCCUACGGGAGGCAGCAGUGGGGAAUUUUGGACAAUGGGCGCAAGCCUGAUCCAGCCAUGCCGCGUGAGUGAAGAAGGCCUCGGUUGUAAG
rnacentral:rRNA from 1 species